UACGUAGGCAGCGAGCGUUGUUCGGAAUUACUGGGCGUAAAGAGUGUGUAGGCGGUGCUCUAAGUUCGGUGUGAAAUCUCCUGCUCAACUGGGAGGUGCGCCGAAACUGGAGUGCGUUGAGCGUGGGAGAGGAAAGCGGAAUUCCUGGUGUAGCGGGUGAAAUGACGUAGAUAUCAGGAGGAACACCUGUGGUGUAGACGGCUUUCUGGACCAUAGCUGACGCUGAGACACGAAAGCGUGGGGUAGCAAACAGG
rnacentral:rRNA from 1 species